CGCGCUAGUGUUGCCUCUCUUACGGGCUAUUGCUCACUUACUUCCACGCAUCACUUUAUUUGUUUACUUUACUAGUUUAUCAAUGAUUUCUCAAAAACUACGUGGUAGGGAAUUCCAGAGUUUUGUAGGCUGACGGCUAACUUCAGUACCAUAAAGCAAAGAUGUUAUAUUCUUUACUCAGUGAGACUUUUUUCGGCCACCGAAAAAAUAAUAACUCGGAGAUGCUCAGACCAGGAAUCGAACCUGGAUCUUUUGGUGUCGCGCUAACUGCUCUACCCUUAACAAGCUAUCCGAGACACUGUCCUUCCAGAACUAUCAGAUGCACCCGGCGGAAUUAACGACAAAAAUGACCAACGGCAAAGAAUGUGAAGCACCAAAGUGCGUUCUCGCUCCAUAUUCCAAGAUGGAGAAAAAAAAAUCGAAAACGCGCAGAAAAAAAUUCCGCAAAUCUAUGCAAUAAUUUUAAAGUUCAAUUAAUCAGCGAGAUUGACUCCCCAAAUUUUGACAGCAUUUUCCACCACCAAAAUGAGCUAAAAGAAUUUUAUUAUUUUCUAAUUAAAAUUUUUGUUCUAAAAAAAAAAAAUUAAUUACAAAUUCGACUAAAGUUUUCACAACCUAACUUGUAUUACUUUAAUCUCGUUAAAAAAAAAUUGAAAAUAAUUACAAUGACAAUAAAAAAAAUAACAAAUAGGUAGUAAAAGUCAAUAAAUAUUUUUUUAAAAACUGUAAUUAUUAUUAAUCGUAAUAAUAUGAUUAUUGACAAUGAUGCGGCUAUGUGCACAUUAAAACACCUUAUUCAUUUUAUCUUACAAGUCCAGCUUCUCGUACACUAUGUACAAAUAUAAUUAUCCUAAACAUUAAUAAUUAAUAAUUAAUCAUAAUAAACCGUAAUUGUUAAUAUACCGAGGUUAUACAUUUAUUUGAUUAGUUAACUAAAUACGUUUUAUUUCUUCUUCACAUACUCAUAUUAAUAUCAAUGUUAAUAAUAUUUACCAUAAUUAAUCAUAAUAAUAAUAAUAAUUAAUUCUAUCUAUACAAUAUACAGGCUCUUAAAACUCUUCUUAUCACUGGCAUAUUAUUUACAUCUUAGAGUAAUAAAUAUAGGGUAUGAUUUAUGGGGUUUUUUAUUUUGUUUCUUCUCAAUGAGUUUUAUCAUUAAAUAAUUCUUACUAUUAUUUAACUAGACAUUUAUUAUAUCCGAUAGAAAAAUUUAGCUAAAUAAAAUAAAAAAAGUAUUAAUUAAUAUUAUUAAAAAAGAUUGAGGCAGAUCGUACCAAAGAUUUUAUCGGCACAUAUAGUUAAGAUUUCUUCAACAAUUUGUACAGGAUUUCUUGUUGUUAAUUUUAUAUUUUUAAUAAUUAUUUUAUUAGUUAGUAAUUAGUAUUGCCAUUAU